GCCUGGGUAGCUCAGUUGGUAGAGCGCUGCCCUGAAGAGGCAGGCGUCCCCGGUUCGAGUCCGGGCCCAGGCA
rnacentral:tRNA from 1 species